rnacentral:rRNA from 1 species
AACGAACGCUGGCGGCAGGCUUAACACAUGCAAGUCGAGCGGAUGAGUGGAGCUAGCUCCAUGAUUCAGCGGCGGACGGGUGAGUAAUGCCUAGGAAUCUGCCUGGUAGUGGGGGACAACGUUUCGAAAGGAACGCUAAUACCGCAUACGUCCUACGGGAGAAAGCAGGGGACCUUCGGGCCUUGCGCUAUCAGAUGAGCCUAGGUCGGAUUAGCUAGUAGGUGAGGUAAUGGCUCACCUAGGCGACGAUCCGUAACUGGUCUGAGAGGAUGAUCAGUCACACUGGAACUGAGACACGGUCCAGACUCCUACGGGAGGCAGCAGUGGGGAAUAUUGGACAAUGGGCGAAAGCCUGAUCCAGCCAUGCCGCGUGUGUGAAGAAGGUCUUCGGAUUGUAAAGCACUUUAAGCUGGGAGGAAGGGCAGUAAGUUAAUACCUUGCUGUUUUGACGUUACCAACAGAAUAAGCACCGGCUAACUUCGUGCCAGCAGCCGCAGUAAGAC